rnacentral:rRNA from 1 species
UACAGAGGUGGCAAGCGUUGUUCGGAAUUACUGGGCGUAAAGGGCGCGUAGGCGGUCUUGUAAGUCUUGUGUGAAAUCCCUCGGCUUAACUGAGGAACUGCACGGGAUACUGCGAGACUUGAGUUCGGGAGAGGGAAGCGGAAUUCCGGGUGUAGCGGUGAAAUGCGUAGAUAUCGGGAGGAACACCUGUGGCGAAAGCGGCGCACUGGACCAUAACUGACGCUGAUGCGCGAAAGCUAGGGGAGCAAACAGG